CUAUCCCCAGGCAUUCCACCCAAACGCAGGAGCCGUGCGCCAGCGCGAGGAGGUGAUGCGCCGCUUGUAAAUAAUUAGCGCUGCAUCUGUUAGGACACGGGCGCUGGUGGCUGGUUUCGGCAUGGAUGCACAUGCAUCGGAGGCCGUGGACGUCCUUGGGACCUCCGCUGCCGCAGCCAACACACUGCUGGCCUCACUGGCACACCCAGCAAAUGCGAGGGAAUUUUUUUUGUUAAAAAAAUACUUUUUCUGGA